AGCUUUGGGUCUUGAGGACCUGUUUAUUUAAGUAGGCUUACUGAA
rnacentral:tRNA from 1 species